rnacentral:rRNA from 1 species
UACGUAGGUGGCAAGCGUUGUCCGGAUUUACUGGGCGUAAAGAGCGCGCAGGCGGUCGUUCAAGUCGCGUGUGAAAGCCCCCGGCUCAACUGGGGAGGGUCACGCGAUACUGAUCGACUGGAAGGCAGGAGAGGGUAGUGGAAUUCCCGGUGUAGUGGUGAAAUGCGUAGAUAUCGGGAGGAACACCAGUGGCGAAGGCGACUUCCUGGCCUGCUCUUGACGCUGAGGCGCGAAAGCUAGGGGAGCAAACGGG